CUACGCAUCCACGGGAGGCAGCAUGGGGAAUAUUGCACAAUGGGCGCAAGCCUGAUGCAGCCAUGCGCGUGUAUGAAGAAGGCCUUCGGGUUGUAAAGUACUUUCAGCAGUGAGGAAGGUGGAUAUGUUAAUAGCAUAUUCAUUUGACGUUAGCUGCAGAAGAAGCACCGGCUAACUCCGUGCCAGCAGCCGCGGUAAUACGGAGGGUGCGAGCGUUAAUCGGAAUUACUGGGCGUAAAGCGCAUGCAGGUGGUUUGUUAAGUCAGAUGUGAAAGCCCGGGGCUCAACCUCGGAAUUGCAUUUGAAACUGGCAAACUAGAGUACUGUAGAGGGGGUAGAAUUUCAGGUGUAGCGGUGAAAUGCGUAGAGAUCUGAAGGAAUACCGGUGGCGAAGGCGGCCCCCUGGACAGAUACUGACACUCAGAUGCGAAAGCGUGGGGAGCAAACAGGAUUAGAUACCCUGGUAG
rnacentral:rRNA from 1 species